CAGCCGCCGCGGUAAUACGUAGGGUGCGAGCGUUAAUCGGAAUUACUGGGCGUAAAGCGUGCGCAGGCGGUUGUGUAAGGCAGGUGUGAAAUCCCCGGGCUUAACCUGGGAACUGCGCUUGUGACUGCACAGCUAGAGUAUGGCAGAGGGGGGUGGAAUUCCACGUGUAGCAGUGAAAUGCGUAGAGAUGUGGAGGAACACCGAUGGCGAAGGCAGCCCCCUGGGCCAAUACUGACGCUCAUGCACGAAAGCGUGGGGAGCAAACAGGAUUAGAUACCCCCGUAGUCCCUGUCUCUUAUAC
rnacentral:rRNA from 1 species